rnacentral:rRNA from 1 species
UGUGCCGGUGGCGGGCGGGGUGUGCGGCGUGGUCCCCCCGCCCMCCCGCGCCGCCUGCGUCCUGCCCCGAGGGGGGGCGGGAAACCCUGCGAGUCCGUCGGCCGUACUGGGGAUAGAUGCUUGCAACUGUCCGCCUUGAACGAGGAAUGCCUAGUAGGCUGGGGUCAUCAGCCCCAACCGAUUGCGUCCCUGCCAUUUGUACACACCGCCCGUCGUUGCUACCGAUGGGGGCCGGAUAGAGCCCCCCGGAGGCCCCCCCCGCCCCCCCUCCGCCCCCGCCCGCCCCUUCGCCCCCUCCCCCGUCCGGGGCGCGGGGGGAGCAGGGGCGCGGUGCGGGCGCGGGGGACGGACGGCCGAAACCGGGCGAUGCCCCGCCCCUAGAGGAAGCAAAAGUCGUAACAAGGUUGUUGUAGGUGAACCUGCAGCAGGAUCAU